rnacentral:lncRNA from 1 species
UAGUUCCUUGUCAGGAAGAGCGAUAGGCUGUUCGCUGAUACAUGCCUUGUCCCUAAUCUUUAUAUCUUAAGCCACAGCGAUUUCCCUUUUCAAUUGGCUCGCGUGUUUAUAAAUGUCAUUAGUCUUUUUAAAAUAGGGGCAACAAUCGCACGACUUGUAAUGCUCCGCGAGAUGAAGUGGCACAACUCCUUGAAGAGAUAGCUCAUGCUCCCCAAGUCGAAGAUUCACACAGCGCUUUGUUUGUCCCACGUACUCUCUACCACAAAAUAAUUGAAUGGCAUAUACAACCGGCUUAGCACAAGUCACAUGGAAAUUACAGCGCAUUCUUAGUACCCAAGCAAUGUUGCAACCGUCUCGGGAAGUGGACACCUCUGGAACGAAAAAUCGCCAACCUUUUCACCUCAAUGAAAGCAGAUAGCUUCACAAGUUGCUGAAGAACCACCAUGUCCUUGCUUCUAGAUAGAAAAAAGUAGUAUGGAUCAAUAUCUUCUCAAUAAAUAUGUGCCACUGAAUUAAA